AAUUCGAUUUUGGAGGGCAAGUCUGGUGCCAGCAGCCGCGGUAAUUCCAGCUCCAAUAGCGUAUAUUAAAGUUGUUGCAGUUAAAAAGCUCGUAGUUGAAUUUCGGGAUCAAUAUGUCGGUCGUGCCUCGGUACGUACUGGCAUCAUUGGUUUCUCCCUUCUGAUGAACCAUGAUGCCAUUAAUUUGGUGUCGUGGGGAAUCAGGACUGUUACUUUGAAAAAAUUAGAGUGUUUAAAGCAGGCUCACGCUUGAAUACAUUAGCAUGGAAUAAUGAAAUAGGACGUUUGAUUCUAUUUUGUUGGUUUCUAGGAUCGACGUAAUGAUUAAUAGGGAUAGUCGGGGGCGUCCGUAUUCAAUUGUCAGAGGUGAAAUUCUUGGAUUUAUUGAAGACGAACUACUGCGAAAGCAUUCGCCAAGGAUGUUUUCAUUAAUCAGUGAACGAAAGUUAGGGGAUCGAAGACGAUCAGAUACCGUCGUAGUCUUAACCAUAAACUAUGCCGACUAGGGAUCGGACGGUGGUUUUUUUAUGCCCCGUUCGGCGCCUUACGGGAAACAAUCACUAGUG
rnacentral:rRNA from 1 species